AAUAAAUAAGGCAAGUCGGGAGGGGGCCGAGUCGGGCGCAGGCAGGGGGGCGUGGAGGUCACAGCGGAGGAUGCAGGCGUGUGGGGCGAGGUGGAGGCUGGAGGCCCACGGGGAGCUCCGGGAGCCGGGGAGCGGGCGAGGUGGAGGCUGGAGGCCCACGGGGGGUUCCGGGGCCGGUGGCCGAGAGGGGAGCGGGCGAGGUGGAGGCUGGAGGCCCACGGGGGCUCCGGGGUCGGUGGCGGGGAGAGCUGCCGACGGGGGGUGGGGGGCUGCCCCGCUCUGGGAAGCCUCGUCCCCGCGGGGUGGUCAGGUGGCCAGUCCCGGCUGCGGAAGCCCUUCCAGCUCCUGGUUCUGCUUCAGUUCCCGCAUCCUGCGGAAACACAAGGAGUCAGGGGUGCAGCGGGCCCGGGGAGGCGCAGGGCCGAACCCAGCGCGGGGCGGAGGGGCACCUGUGUCGGCAGCGCCGCAGGAACCUCAUGAUCUUCCGGGCUGCCUGGUCCUGCUUCUUGGUGAGGAAGGAGCCUCUGGGGGAGGGAGAGAAGAAAUAAAGAUGGGGACGCACAGAGCACGCGGGCAGCCCGCGCCCGGGCCCCCGGAGCCCGGCCGUACUUGCUGCGGGCAGGCAGGGCGCCCGCGGGCCGGUGGCGGUAGGAGCGGUAGUGCUGCUGGAUGAGCACAGCCGCCCGGCGGCUCUGCUGAAAGCGCUUCUGCUCGUAGUAGCUGCGGAACUUGCUCUGGAUCAGGAUGGCGGCCUGGGUCAUCUUCUUAUAGAGCGCGAACUGCAGGGUGGGGAGGAGGGAGAGGGGCUGACUAGGAGAGAGGAGGCCAGGCCCCCGAGGACCACCCCCAGGUCAGGCUGAUGCAAGUCUGGACAACCUCACACCCAGGCCUCAGGCCUGAUACCUUAAGUGCAAUCCAGGUCAGCUUGUGGAGAGAGAAGGGGAGUUAGGGCCCGGCAGCCUUCGCAGUGCUCUGGGCCGGGAUGGUGUGUGAGGGGUGGCUGCCCACCAGCCUUGCCAGAGAAGGGUCUCACCUGCUUGUACUUGCGGUAACAGCGCUGGAUCACAGCCGCUGCCACCUCCUGCUGCUCCUUCAGCCGCCGGCCCUGCGGGGAGGGAGGGAGGCUCAGCACCUCGCCGUCCACCUGGUGGACAUCUGAUCUGUGCAGCCUUCCUCACUGGGUGACUGACUGCUCUGUCCAAAGGCCCUGGAAGCCCACCAUCUCCCUUCACCCAAGGCUGUGUGAGUCACUGUAAGGACCGUGGCCCCGACCUUGUACUUCCGGAAGGCCGUCUGGAUGACUCUGGCUGCCUCGUACAGUUCCCGCUGCUCGUGAUCCGACAGCGUCAGCAGAGCAAAGUCACUUUCCAUCUUGCCACUGGUAGAUGCCGAGAGAAAUUCUGCCCAGGAGGGUGCUGGGGGGACAGCCAGGCGCCCUCGCUCGAAGGGCAGGUCACUGCAGGGAGCGGGAGAGGAAGGUCAGGGAGCUUCCAGAGCCCCUCUUCUCCCACCCAGGAUGGCCGUGAAGCAGCAGCCAUCAGCCAGUCAGUUCCCUUCUCACAGGCCCUGGGCCUCAGCCAAGAUGGAGCGUUGGCUGUGGGAAGUCUGUUCCCUCCCCUUCAUCCUCCCUUUGUAGAAGACUCCAGGGGCUCUGUCUGAACUGGUCACCUGGGAGGGGCUGAGCUGGGGAAGUGGUCCACGUUCUCCAGGUAGCUGGCCAGCCAGGACAUGGUCUCGCUGAGC